rnacentral:rRNA from 1 species
GACGUAGGGCGCGAGCGUUGUCCGGAUUUAUUGGGCGUAAAGAGCUCGUAGGCGGUUUGUCGCGUCGGGAGUGAAAUCCACUGGCUUAACUGGUGGCUUGCUUUCGAUACGGGCAGACUGGAGGUAUGCAGGGGAGAACGGAAUUCCUGGUGUAGCGGUGAAAUGCGCAGAUAUCAGGAGGAACACCGAUGGCGAAGGCAGAUCUCUGGGCCGUAACUGACGCUGAGGAGCGAAAGCAUGGGGAGCGAACAGG